CCCUCACCAGUUCUCUGCCUCAUGACUCACGCAGUCACGCCCACACGACUGAGCCCGUCAAAACUCAGUUUUCUAUAUCUUUUUCCGGCAGAGCGUUGCACUAAGUGACACAAAAACAUGGCUGAAAAUAUCAUGAUUGAUAAGGUGAUUGGUGAAAGUGGAGCUUCUAAUUCAAAUGCCACAUCACAAUCUCAAUCAGUUCAAUCGAAAGCAAAAAAA